AAAAUAAGCCCUAGUGUGUUUUUUGUGACUAAAAUUAAUAUAAGACCCGGUCUUAUUUUCGGAGAAACACGGGUAUUAGCUAUAUGAAAAAUAUAACUUUCAUGUUCCCAUGCAGGGUUGCGGGAUCCAAAUUUAGGGGUAGCAAAAGAGCAAACCUUCCUAUGUGUUUCACAAUGUUAUGUGGUUACUCAAAUGAACACAAGAACAGAUAAAUAUUUAAAUAAAUAAAAAGUGUUACUAUACAUUAGUGAAUUAAAAAAAACACUUAAAGGGAACACAGUGAGCAUCCAAAGCAUAAACCUAUAAGCCCAUUGCAGUGCAUAUGGUGUUGCCAGGCUAUUGGUACCAUCUCCUGUUUCCAUGUCAAACCAUUUUGAGAAGUUGGACACAAACAGUGAGUCCCAAGGCAAUUUUUCCAGUUUGGCUAGUUUGGCCUUUAAUUUGAAACUCACUUUAAACUCAUAAUAAUUCUCACUUCAGUGAAUAACACUGACAUAUAACCAAACCGUGUUGCAUCCGCAUAUUUCCUUGCAAUUGUUCUCUUUCUGUACACUAGCACCCUUCAUGAUCAUUAGAGAUAUAUCCUGUGGAUUACCACGCCUCACCCAAAGGUGGAGUUAAGGCGUACCUACGGAAAUAAUAAGUGACCACCCCCUUGUGUCCAGGCCCAGAUCAAUCCAAAUGGAAACAUUUGGUUCUAUCUUCUCUUCUGUACCCGCCUCAGAAAUAAUAAUUGCCUCUAUGAAUUUGUUAUUAUUUUCCCAUUCUAUACAUAUGUUGCAUGCCGGCCUUCCGAUCCGAUAGGAUGGACACCACAAUUCCUUCCCCUAUGGUCAAGUUAGGCCACUCAUGUUUGGACUUGGUUAGAAGAUGGCACUUCUCACAUUCCAAAUAUAACAAAAAUGAGGCUUUAUUAUUAUUCUGUGGGGGUAAAUAUGAAUGUUUCUGUCCUUCCUUUGAAUAUGAUACUGGAACAAGGCUAAUGGCACUUACAUAUCAAAGAGAUUUACUCAUCCCUUACAAGGUACAUGCCAAAUGGAUGAAGAGACAUUCAGACUUUUUCCAAGUGUAGAACCUCAUACCUUGCAGAGCCUUGAUUACUUCACAUCCAUAUAGUAAAAUCCUUUUUCACAUUGCUAUGCCAUUCAUACUACCCCUUCUGUCAUCUGACCGCUGUGAGGGUCCGAGCUUCAAAAGAUGUAACCACUUUUGACCUCAACAAUACCAUCUCUGUAAUUUGUACCAUUUACUACACAAAUUACAUUAAAGGAUAAUAUUCCAUAGUGCAAUAAUAAAUUAUGCACCCUUGCCGUGACAAUGGUUAUGCCAAGAGUUUGUUAAUAAUAAUAACUUGUAGAAUAGAAAAGGUUUUGGUAUAUGUCAAUGUUUGAAAGAACAAGUUGUUUUUUUUUUUUUAAAUGUAUUAAAUAAAUUACCACGGC